GCAUUCUUCGCUUAGUGGAUAGAGCACUAGUCUUCUAAACUGGGGGUGAUAGGUUCGAAUCCUAUAGGAUGUG
rnacentral:tRNA from 1 species